UACGUAGGGCGCAAGCGUUAUCCGGAAUUAUUGGGCGUAAAGAGCUCGUAGGCGGUUUGUCGCGUCUGCCGUGAAAGUCCGGGGCUCAACUCCGGAUCUGCGGUGGGUACGGGCAGACUAGGGUGAUGUAGGGGAGACUGGAAUUCCUGGUGUAGCGGUGGAAUGCGCAGAUAUCAGGAGGAACACCGAUGGCGAAGGCAGGUCUCUGGGCCACUACUGACGCUGAGAAGCGAAAGCAUGGGGAGCGAACAGG
rnacentral:rRNA from 1 species